rnacentral:lncRNA from 1 species
AAGAUGGACCACGAUUUCCUUACACACGGUAUCCCCCAUCAACCUGCCACCUUGGAAUCUCAAUUUAUUCCGUUCUUUCCAUAUUGUCGGCACCAGAAUCCCAAACAGGCAUGCUGUGAUUUCUGCUAAGCUAUUUCUCCUCUUCGCCAGCUUACUAAUCCACGCACACUCCUCCUGCCAGUCAGCAAUGAUACGCUUAUGACCCAACCAGUUAAGGAGGCGAUUCCAGAGCUCUUUUGUCUUCGAACAUUCAAUAAACAAAUGCUCAAAGGUCUCCUGAUCUACACCACAGAAUAUGCAUUCUUGCGGAACCACUAUAUUAAACUUUUGGAGUCGCUCCACAGUUGCGAGUCGCUUAUGUAAAGCCAGCCAUAAUAUGAACUUGUACCUGGGAUGGAGUUGAGGUUGUAAUAUGAUUGAUUU